UAUAGUAAGGGGUCAUUUGGGUCAAGGUCAAUGUCACCAAUGUCAAGGUCACCAAUGUUAAAAAUAGAUUUUUACAUUUUUACAGGUGUAUUAACCAUAUUCUAUAGACAGAUGUCAUUUAUAAUUGAUAGGAACAUAAAAUUUGAUGGAGUUAGUGGUCAGUUGGGUCAAGGUCACCAGUGCUAAAAAUAGAUGUUUACACUUUUGCUCAUACAGCCUUUAUUUAUUGACAGAUAUAUUUCGUAUUUGGUAGGAAGAUAACUUGCAUGGUAUUCAUCCUUUUGAUUGGGGUAGGGAUCAGUGGGUCAAGGUCACAAGUGCUAAAAAUAGAUUUUUACACUUUUGCCCAUACAGCCUUUAUUUAUUGACAGAUUUAUUUCAUAUUUGGUUGGAAGAUAACUUGCAUGGUAUUCUUCCUUUGGAUGGAGUUAGGGGUCAGUUUGAUCAAGGUCAUCAAUGCUCAAAAUAGAUUUUAACAUUUUUGCCCAUACAGCCUUUAUUUAUUGACAGGUGUAUUUCAUAUUUGGUAGGAAGAUAACUUGCAUGAUAUUCUAUAGGUGUCAGUGGGUCAAGGUCAAGGGUGCCAAGUAUAGAUUUCUUACAUUUAUAUAUAUUUGAUAAAGUUGAAUAUUUAUCACUUCACAAGUCAUAGCAAUGACUUGGCAACUUAUACAUGUAUAUUUCACAAUUACAAAAUGCCAUGACUCUGUCAAGCUAUAUAACUUGUGUUUUCAAUUUUUGGCAGUGUUUCUGUCUAUAACUGAGUGAAUAGGUAAACAUUUUUAGCUCACCUGUCACAAAGUGACAGGGUGAGCUUUUGUGAUGGCUUUUCGUCCGUUGUCCGUCCGUCGUCCGUCCGUCCGUAAAGUUUUACUUUAAAUAACAUCUCCUCAUAAACCACUAAGCAAAUUUCAUCCAAACUUCACAGGAAUGUUCCUUUGGUGGUCACCUUUAAAAAUUGUUCAAAGGAUUUAAUUCCAUGCAGAACUCUGGUUGCCAUGGCAACCGAAAGAAAAAACUUUAAAUAUCUUCUUUUAAAAAACCCUAAGAGCUAGAGCUUAGAUAUUUGGUAUGAAACAUCUUCUAGCAAGUGUCUACCAAGUUUGUUCAAAUAAAAGCCCUGGGGUCAAAAUUGGCCCCGCCCCAGGGGGUCAUUGAUUUUCCCUAUAUGUAUAUAGUAAAAGCUUAAAAAAUCUUCUUUUAAAGAACCCAAAGAGCUAGAGCUAAAAUAUUUAGCAUGAAACAUCUUCUAAUGGUCGUCUACCAAGUUUGUUCAAAUAAAAGCCAUGGGGUCAAAAUUGGCCCCGCCCCAGGGGGUCAUUGAUUUUUCCUAUAUGCAUAUAGUAAAAACUUAAAAAUCUUCUUUUAAAGAACCCAAAGAGCUAGAGCUAAGAUAUUUAGCAUGAAACAUGUUCUAAUGGAUGUCUACCAAGUUUGUUCAAAUAAGAGCCCUGGGGUCAAAAUAGGCCCCGCCCCAGGGGGUCAUUGAUUUUUCCUAUAUGCAUAUAGUAAAAACUUAGAAAUCUUCUUUUAAAGAACACAAAGAGCUAGAGCUAACAUAUUUAGCAUGAAACAUGUUCUAGCAAGUGUCUACCAAGUUUGUUCAAAUAAAAGCCCUGGGGUCAAAAUUGGCCCCGCCCCAGGGGGUCAUUGAUUUUCCCUAUAUGAAUAUAGUAAAAACUUAAAAAAUCUUCUUUUAAAGAACCCAAAGAGCUAGAGCUAAGAUAUUUAGCAUGAAACAUGUUCUAAUGGAUGUCUACCAAGUUUGUUCAAAUAAGAGCCCUGGGGUCAAAAUUGGCCCCGCCCCAGGGGAUCAUUGAUUUUCCCUAUAUGAAUAUAGUAAAAACUUAAAAAUCUUCUUUUAAAGAACCCAAAGAGCUAGAGCU